GUCAGCACAGAACCUGACACAGGGCUUGAACUUGCAAACCGUGAGAUCAUGACCUGAGCCCAAGUCAGAGGCUUAACCCACUGAACCACCCAGGUGCGCCUGGAAUCCUCGUUCUGUUUCAUUGGUCCACGUGUCUGUCUUAACGCCAGUACCACACUUUUGAAUACUGUAGCUUUGUAGUAAGUUUUAAAAUCAGAAAGUGUGAGUCUUCCAGUUUUAUUCCUUUUUGUAGGAGUGCUGAUAAUAGUAAUUCCGUCUUUUUCAUGCUCAGUGACCUCUUGGGGCUACAUGUUCCAGGCCCCAUAGAAGUUAAUGUAUGCCCUGACCAAAACUCAGGAAGGUUUGUUCUGAUCUUUCCUAAAGUGGAAGACAGAAGACUCCACUUCAGGUAACUAGCAGAGAUCCUCUUGCACACAGAUGAUGCCACUUUAGAUAACUACGCUGUGAUCUCACCACCCUGCGCUUCUCCAUAAAAGCUGGGAAUUAAGGUCUGGACUGGGCAGGGAAUCACAGCAGAAUGAGGAUGGAGAAUGGCCACGUACCGUUGUUGAACUUACAGAUCCCUCCUUGUUGAAAGACUAUGCAGCUACCAUUUAGCUACUUUAUAUCAAGAUAACACUAUUUCCACAAGACUUGUAUUGGCUACAAUUCAUCCAAAGCUACCUUUCUUAAGAGGUUCAUUCACUGCCUGGAUUGCAUACCAACCAGAGAAGGUCCUGGAAGAAUUACCCAGCAUGCCUCAAGGAGUCACAUGGGAGGUCAAGGCAGAAAACAAACAGAGGCAGGACCUGGGGCACAUGUCUUUUUUCAGGAGAGUAUUCUAGAGGAAGAGCAACAUCGGAUCAUGACAAAAUUGAUUUCAUUAAAAAUUGUUGACCUUUUGCUUCAUCGCACCUCUAAACGCAAGAUGCAUCACCAGCAGCUCUACUGGAACCACCCUUGGAAAUUUAGCCCGGGUUCACUCUUGCUACAUCUGCUCGAACCGGAUGGUCUGCUCCUGAAAUACAGCCUCAGUAUGUGCAGCCAGGGUUUACGAUGGUAGCCAGGGUUUAGGACAGUAGCAGAAGUCCUAAAGGAUUCGCCAAGGUGGACUGAGUGAAUUUCCCUGAAUGGAUUAUCCCCAACAUCUACCCGAUGGAAGAAACAAUGCUACUUUUUUACACAAAAUUUUUGAAAAGAAAAGACUUCAGGGGCAUCUGGCUUGCUUAGUCAGUAGAGCAUGUGCCCUUGAUCUCGGGACUGUGAGUUCAAGCCCCACCUUGGGCGUGGAGCCUACUUAAAAAAUAUGUGGUUUGUUUUCCUUCAGUUAUAUAAAAGUAUUCAUGCUGGGGCCGGAGAGGGUGGGGGGAGUUGGGGGGAGGCAUUGGGCGUCUUGCUAUAGCACUCUGCUAAAUGCUGUGAACAGGGCAAAACAAGUACAACGAGUUCUCUAUGCCUGAGGAGCUCCCAGUGCAGCCCAAGAAACAGGUAUGGGCUCUACUCUUGAUAAAAGGAAAACUAUAGUGGGGGCGCCUGUCUCUUGAUUUCAACUUGGGUCAUGAUCUCACAGUUUGUAAAAUUGAGCCCCGAGUCAAGCUCUGUAAUGACAGCACGGAGCCUUCUUGGGAUUCUCUCUCUGCCUUUCCCCAGCUUGCUUGCGUGCGUUCUCUCUCUCUCUCUCAAACUAAAUAAACAAACUUAAAAAAAAAAAAAAAAAAAAGUCCAGGGAAGCCCUGACCUCCCCUCUGACUGGAAUGACUAUUUAGAGUGACAAAGCUAAUACACAUUGUAAAGAGCAGCAAAAAAUGUUACAUGUUAGAUAUGGCCAGAACGCUAAAGGUACUACAGCCUGCCACAGAGGCUGGAGUAGUCAGGAAGGGACAUUAGGAGGUACAGAGGUGGCAGGGAAUGUGGGACCAGGAGGAGCCUGGCCAAAGAGGGAGGCAAGAGGCAGUGGGUGGUAAGGCGGAGGCCUCAGAGUGAAUACUACUGAUUGUAAUAGCAAUUUGAGACCACUAAGAGAUGUGGGACAGAUGAGGGAUGUGAUGCAAGUGACAUUUAAGAAACAGUUUGCAGGAUGGACUAGGGAGUGAAGGUGGUGGUGAAGGGUAGUCUGAAAGUGAGUAAAUGGGGGUCGGAGGGUUAGAGGCGGUUCUCCAGAGUGCAGUGCUAACGAGCUAGACUAGGGAGUACCUGUGGUAAACAGAAUAUUUCCACAGGAUUUGAUGAAAUAUAAAUAAGAGAAGUAUUUUAUAGAAAGAUUGAUCUUUUUUGUUGUUUUGGUGUUUUUUGUGGGUUUUCUGCUUUUAAGAAGGACAGUGGAAGUAAAGCCUAAUUAAUAGAACAGUAGGGGUGCCCGGGUGCCUCAGUUGGUUAAGUGUUUGACUUCACCUCAGGUCAUGAUCUCACGGUUCAAGCCCCAUAUGGGGGUGGGGGCCUCUGCUGUCAGCACAGAGCCCCCUUCAGAUCCUCUGUCUCCCUCUCUCUGCCCCUCCCACCCCCCUCUCUCAAAAAUUAAAUAAACAUAUAAUAGAACAGGCGUAUCUUCUACUGAACAGGAGUAUCUUCUACUUCUACCUUCUACUGGGAGGUAAAGUUGAGGGACAGAGCUACUUUAAGAAAGAAGAUAAGUGUGGCUUAGAUAUGCUGAUAUGUGGGCGGGAAUCAUUGUUUGAGAUCAGUCCCCAUCAGAGAGACUCUGAAUCAAGACUUUUGUCCAGCUUGGCACCCAUUAUGACUAACAGUUUCUAUAAUGCCACGAGGCUCUUCCAGAAAAGCAUCAUACAUUCCUUGACUCAAGAUAAUGCCCAGAGGGGCGCCUGGGUGGCUCAGUUAAGUAUCCAACUUCUGCUCAGGUCAAGAUCUCAUGGCUCCUGGGUUCGAGCCCCACUUCAGGCUCUGUGCUGACAGGUCAGAGCCUGGAGCCUGCUUCC